ACUUAAGUAUUAAAUUAGCUUUGGAUCAAAAACAAAAAUAAAUAAAUUAAAAAGACAAUAGAAGUUUUCGCUGCGUGCGAUUGUUUCAAUACUCACGAAUUGCAAGCAGCCGAUAUAUCGAUAGUAGUAUUAAUCGACACGACCGGCAAAUGCACUUGUUAAGCGCGUUCAAAAGCAAAUUUAGUUUGUUUAAUUAAAAAUAGUCGUAACUGCAGCCUGGAAAGCACAUAAAGCACAAUGCAGGAGUUUUUCAGAGUGCUGAUGCCGGACGUAAAGAAGGAGCUACGCCGCGGCAUCAUCGAGUGCUCAAAACGCGGCUUGCUGCACAGCACCAAAUGGCUAGCAGAGAUGCACCACGGCUUGAGUGAUGUGAACAUCGACAAUGCGGCACCGGAUGAUGAUCAUUCGUUUAGCGAAUGCCAGCUGGAGGGCAUUACGCCAGCUGAGUAUAGCGAUUAUUUCCUAGCCAAGAGCUACUACGAUGUGCGUGAAUAUGAUCGGGCAGCGCACGCUGUCCGGAACUGCGAAUCCAGUGUGCCACGAUUUCUUCACCUUUACUCUACGUACAUGGCACGCGAGAAGCGACGUCUCGACUCCACCACCGAUCAAGCGAAUCUCAACGAGCCAAAUCAAAUGCGCGACUUGGCAGAUCUCUUGGCCACGUUACGCGCUGAACAUGGACGCGGUCGCUUAGAUGGUUAUGGAAUGUAUCUAUAUGGCGUUGUACUCAAAGCUUUAAACCUUAAUAAAGCAGCUGAGCAAAUGCUUGUAACCGCUGUGCGGAUGGUGCCAAUGCUGUGGAGCGCCUACCUGGAACUAUCACCCCUCAUUAUGGAAAAAAAGAAGUUGCUGAGCAUGCAACUGGGCGGUCAUUGGAUGCGUCAUUUCUUCAUGGCACACACGUACUUGGAGCUGUACUUGAAUGAUGAUGGACUGAAGAUCUAUGAGGACCUGCAGGCUGCCGGCUUUAGCAAGAGCAUCUAUAUAACCGCACAAAUGGCACACGUCUAUCACAAUAAGAGGGAUGUGGAUAAGGCUAUUGAGCUGUUCCAGGCGCUGUUUGAGAGCGAUCCUUAUCGCUUGGACAACGUUGAUACAUACUCAAAUUUAUUGUUUGUCAAGGAAAUGAAAACGGAAAUGGCCCAACUGGCGCACAAGGCUGUUAGCAUUAACAAAUACCGGCCCGAGACAUGUUGUGUUAUAGGCAAUUACUACAGCAUACGCUGUGAUCACCAUGUGGCCAUUUCCUAUUUCCAGCGCGCUUUAAAACUGAAUCCGAAGUAUUUAGCAGCCUGGACGCUGAUGGGUCAUGAAUUUAUGGAACUGAAGAAUACAAAUGCAGCCAUACAAAGUUAUCGCAAAGCUGUGGAGGUCAACAAGCGUGAUUAUCGUGCUUGGUAUGGCUUAGGUCAGGCCUACGAGAUCAUUAAGAUGCAUUAUUAUAGUUUGUAUUAUUUUAAAAUUGCCCAUCAAUUGCGUCCGUAUGACUCACGCAUGCUUGUUGCAUUGGGCGAAACAUACGAGAAGCUGGACAAGUGUGAAAAUUCGGUGAAAUGCUAUUGGAAGGCCUGCGAUGUGGGCGACAUCGAGGGCAUAGCCAUGUAUAAGCUGGCCAGCCUGCACGAGAAACUGGGUGACAACGAGACGGCCGUUCAUUGUUAUAUUAUGUACUGCGAAGACGAGCGCGCUGCCACCGACAAGCAGAGCCUCUAUCAGGGCUUCAUGACUCUGGCCAACUACUACGAGAAGAAGUGUGACUAUGAGCGUGCUGCCUACUAUGCUUACAAGUGUCUGGACUCCGAUGAUCGCAAAACGGAAGCUAAAGCGCUCCUAAAAACAAUCGAUUAUCGACGCAGCGCUGAAUGCCAGAAGAAAAAAUCCACAGCAACGGUGGUGGCUACGGCAGAGACCAGUUCCGAGGACGAAAUGGAAUGGGAGCAGCUCGAUGUACGUGCCCGCGUACCAUUUACCUCUAUAGCCGAUACGAGCAAAACAACGUCUACGGCAACGGCAACCGCAACAGGAAGCUCCAGUGGCAGCUCAGCCACAGGUGCAUCUACCUCAGCCGGCGCGAGAAGAUUACGUGCGGUGCCGGAGCGUGUGCGUCGAACGCAGCCCAAUCAGCGAACCCUGACGGGACCCACAGCAAAUAGCACAGCGACAACACCAGCGGCGGCAACAACAAUACCCACAAUAAGUGAGGAGACGCCAGGAGGUAGUUCAGCAACAACAGCAACGGAAACGGAGACACUUGAGGAUUCAACGCCGGCGACAGCAACAGCUGAGCAGCAGGCGGCACACGAUAGCAGCGCAAUGGAAAUUUCUAGCGUGUCCAUCGAUUAGAUAGGAUAUGUUUUAAAUUAGAGAAAUUCUACUGUGGGUUUACAAAUUGAAGUUUUUUAAGAUGAAGAGUGAGUGAGGCAUGAACCUAUUAAAACUAUUCGGAGUAGCAAGUGGAGUAUA